rnacentral:rRNA from 1 species
AGAGUUUGAUCCUGGCUCAGAUUGAACGCUGGCGGCAUGCCUUACACAUGCAAGUCGAACGGUAACGCGGGGGCAACCCUGGCGACGAGUGGCGAACGGGUGAGUAAUACAUCGGAACAUAUCCAGUAGCGGGGGAUAACCUAUCGAAAGAUGGACUAAUACCGCAUACGAUCUACGGAUGAAAGCAGGGGACCGCAAGGCCUUGCACUAUUGGAGUGGCCGAUGUCGGAUUAGCUAGUUGGUGGGGUAAAAGCUUACCAAGGCGACGAUCCGUAGCUGGUCUGAGAGGACGAUCAGCCACACUGGAACUGAGACACGGUCCAGACUCCUACGGGAGGCAGCAGUGGGGAAUUUUGGACAAUGGGCGCAAGCCUGAUCCAGCCAUGCCGCGUGAGUGAAGAAGGCCUUCGGGUUGUAAAGCUCUUUCGGUGAAGACGAAACGGUUCAUGCUAAUAACGUGAACUAAUGACGGUACUCGCAGAAGAAGCACCGGCUAACUACGAGCCAGCAGCCGCGGUAAUACGUAGGGUGCAGGCGUUAAUCGGAAUUACUGGGCGUAAAGCGUGCGCAGGCGGUUUGCUAAGACAGGUGUGAAAUCCCCGGGCUUAACCUGGGAAUUGCGCUUGUAACUGGCAAGCUAGAGUGUGGCAGAGGGGGGUGGAAUUCCACGUGUAGCAGUGAAAUGCGUAGAUAUGUGGAGGAACACCGAUGGCGAAGGCAGCCCCCUGGGUUAACACUGACGCUCAUGCACGAAAGCGUGGGGAGCAAACAGGAUUAGAUACCCUGGUAGUCCACGCCCUAAACUAUGUCAACUAGUUGUCGGGGAAGAAAUUCCUUGGUAACGAAGCUAACGCGUGAAGUUGACCGCCUGGGGAGUACGGCCGCAAGGUUAAAACUCAAAGGAAUUGACGGGGACCCGCACAAGCGGUGGAUUAUGUAGAUUAAUUCGAUGCAACGCGAAAAACCUUACCUACCCUUGACAUGCUAGGAAGCCCGCAGAGAUGUGGGUGUGCCCGAAAGGGAACCUAGACACAGGUGCUGCAUGGCUGUCGUCAGCUCGUGUCGUGAGAUGUUGGGUUAAGUCCCGCAACGAGCGCAACCCUUGCCAUUAGUUGCUACAUUCAGUUGGGCACUCUAAUGGGACCGCCGGUGACAAACCGGAGGAAGGUGGGGAUGACGUCAAGUCCUCAUGGCCCUUAUGGGUAGGGCUUCACACGUAAUACAAUGGUCGGUACAGAGGGCUGCCACCCGCAAGGGGGAGCUAAUCCCAGAAAGCCGAUCGUAGUCCGGAUUGUAGUCUGCAACUCGACUGCAUGAAGCCGGAAUCGCUAGUAAUCGCGGAUCAGCAUGUCGCGGUGAAUACGUUCCCGGGUCUUGUACACACCGCCUGUCACACCAUGGGAGUGGGUUCCACCAGAAGUAGUUAGCCUAACCGCAAGGAGGGCGAUUACCACGGUGAGAUUCAUGACUGGGGUGAAGUCGUAACAAGGUA